CCUACGGGUGGCUGCAGUCGAGAAUUUUGGGCAAUGGGCGAAAGCCUGACCCAGCAAUGCCGCGUGCAGGAUGAAGGCCCUCGGGUUGUAAACUGCUGUCACCGGGGACGAAAAACGACGGUACCCGGCGAGGAAGCCACGGCUAACUACGUGCCAGCAGCCGCGGUAAUACGUAGGUGGCGAGCGUUGUUCGGAUUUAUUGGGCGUAAAGGGUCCGCAGGGGGCCCGUUAAGUUAGAUGUGAAAUCCCGAGGCUCAACCUCGGAACUGCAUUUAAAACUGGCGGGCUAGAGUGCUGGAGAGGUGAAUGGAAUUCCAGGUGUAGCGGUGGAAUGCGUAGAUAUCUGGAAGAACACCGAGAGCGAAGGCAGUUCACUGGACAGCAACUGACCCUCAGGGACGAAAGCGUGGGGAGCAAACAGGAUUAGAUACCCGGGUAGUC
rnacentral:rRNA from 1 species